rnacentral:misc_RNA from 1 species
UACGCCCGAUCUCGUCCGAUCUCGGAAGCUAAGCAGGGUUGGGCCCGGUUAGUACUUGGAUGGGAGACCGCCUGGGAAUACCAGGUGCUGUAAGCUUUCUUGUAUUUACUCUUUUUUUCAAGUUUUUCCUUUUUCGACGCGGUUAUACUGUUAGAGUAAAUCAAUACACACGCACGCACAUGGGUGGUUGGAUAUAGAUAAAAACUAUAUUAAAAGUACUAAAAACCAAAUAAAUGAAUCCAUGUAAGGAGUUGCUGAGCUACAGCCUAGUCUUUAAAAGCUGAGUGUUGGUGCUGCUUUUUCGCUUACGGCCAUACCAGCCUG